AGUCGACUCCUACGGGGAGGCAGCAGUGGGGAAUAUUGCACAAUGGGGGAAACCCUGAUGCAGCCAUGCCGCGUGUGUGAAGAAGGCCUUCGGGUUGUAAAGCACUUUCAGUAGGGAGGAAGGUAGUGUAGUUAACAUCUGCAUUAUUUGACGUUACCUACAGAAGAAGCACCGGCUAACUCCGUGCCAGCAGCCGCGGUAAUACGGAGGGUGCGAGCGUUAAUCGGAAUUACUGGGCGUAAAGCGCAUGCAGGCGGCCUGUUAAGUCAGAUGUGAAAGCCCGGGGCUUAACCUCGGAAUUGCAUUUGAAACUGGCAGGCUAGAGUCUUGUAGAGGGGGGUAGGAAUUUCAGGUGUAGCGGUGAAAUGCGUAGAGAUCUGAAGGAAUACCAGUGGCGAAGGCGGCCCCCUGGACAAAGACUGACGCUCAGACUGCGAAAGCGUGGGGAGCAAACAGGAUUAGAUACCCUGGUAG
rnacentral:rRNA from 1 species